UCGUUUCUAGAGCCAAGGCCACACAAGGAAACAAGGUGCCUGGCAUCACAUCCACCUGCCUCUGACUCUCCUACUGAAUGACCAGGUCCCCACUGCCAACUGGGAGCAGGCUGUGGCAUGAAACCAGAGGGGGGGCUCAAACUCCUGGAUCAAAUGGCCCCAUUAGGUGCAGCAUAAGGAAAAGACAGUUUCCCAGAGUGCCUUCUCCUUUAAACUACAGAGAGUGAAGUGGCUCCAGCUCCUAUUAGAGCUAUUUUGUACCUGGCCAUCCCUUCCUCCUUUCUAAGUUGACCGGAUGCAAACAUCCCAUGAACAAUAAACCACCUUCAGUCUCCCCCCCAAGGAAAUGCGUUACACACAGAAGAACCUGGUGUCUUCCUGAAAUGAGCUGUUCAAGAGAUCCAGCUAACAGGUGUUCCUUGAAAAAGGCCUCCUAAGCUUUUGGAAACAAGGGGACCGGGAGCAUUUGACUUUAAUCAUACAGCGAAAGCAUAUUCAUUUUCACAGCAGGAUGGCAGGCUGCCUGGGCCAAAAAAACAAAGUACCGCAGGGAGGCGUGUGUUUUCACAGGCGCGGUUACAGCAGGACCAAAUAAAAAGCCAAAUCUCAGCCUUUCUCUGCUUGUAA